ACACUGUACAAUGGAUUUCUCGGCUCCCACAUCGAUGAAGAACGCAGCAAAGCGCGAUAGGUAGUGUGAAUUGCAGAAUACCGUGAAUCAUCGAAUUUUUGAACGCAUAUUGCGCCCGGGUUUGAGCCUGGGCAUGUCUGCCUCAGCGUCGAUUUCC
rnacentral:rRNA from 12 species